rnacentral:rRNA from 1 species
GGAAUAUUGGACAAUGGGCGAAAGCCUGAUCCAGCAAUGCCGCGUGAGUGAUGAAGGCCUUAGGGUUGUAAAGCUCUUUUACCAGGGAUGAUACUGACAGUACCUGGAGAAUAAGCUCCGGCUAACUCCGUGCCAGCAGCCGCGGUAAUACGGAGGGAGCUAGCGUUGUUCGGAAUUACUGGGCGUAAAGCGCGCGUAGGCGGCUAUCCAAGUCAGGGGUGAAAUCCCGGGGCUCAACCCCGGAACUGCCUCUGAAACUAGGUAGCUAGAAUACUGGAGAAGUGAGUGGAAUUCCGAGUGUAGAGGUGAAAUUCGUAGAUAUUCGGAAGAACACCAGUGGCGAAGGCGACUCACUGGACAGUUAUUGACGCUGAGGUGCGAAAGCGUGGGGAGCAAA